rnacentral:ncRNA from 1 species
AGGCCCAGCCCGUGGACUGUGUGAGGCUAGUAUGGGUCUUCCCCGAGUCGGGUUGCUUGGGAAUGCAGCCCAAAGUGGGUGGUAAACUCCAUCUAAGGCUAAAUAACAAGCAUGAGACCUAUUGUCAACAAGUACAGUAGG